CUAUCAUUAACUGAAUCCAUAGGUUAAUGAGGCGAACCGGGGGAACUGAAACAUCUAAGUACCCCGAGGAAAAGAAAUCAACCGAGAUUCCCCCAGUAGCGGCGAGCGAACGGGGAGGAGCCCAGAGCCUGAAUCAGUGUGUGUGUUAGUGGAAGCGUCUGGAAAGGCGCGCGAUACAGGGUGACAGCCCCGUACACAAAAAUGCACAUAUUGUGAGCUCGAUGAGUAGGGCGGGACACGUGGUAUCCUGUCUGAAUAUGGGGGGACCAUCCUCCAAGGCUAAAUACUCCUGACUGACCGAUAGUGAACCAGUACCGUGAGGGAAAGGCGAAAAGAACCCCGGCGAGGGGAGUGAAAAAGAACCUGAAACCGUGUACGUACAAGCAGUGGGAGCCUCUUAAUGGGGUGACUGCGUACCUUUUGUAUAAUGGGUCAGCGACUUAUAUUCUGUAGCAAGGUUAACCGAAUAGGGGAGCCGAAGGGAAACCGAGUCUUAACUGGGCGUUAAGUUGCAGGGUAUAGACCCGAAACCCGGUGAUCUAGCCAUGGGCAGGUUGAAGGUUGGGUAACACUAACUGGAGGACCGAACCGACUAAUGUUGAAAAAUUAGCGGAUGACUUGUGGCUGGGGGUGAAAGGCCAAUCAAACCGGGAGAUAGCUGGUUCUCCCCGAAAGCUAUUUAGGUAGCGCCUCGUGAAUUCAUCUCCGGGGGUAGAGCACUGUUUCGGCAAGGGGGUCAUCCCGACUUACCAACCCGAUGCAAACUGCGAAUACCGGAGAAUGUUAUCACGGGAGACACACGGCGGGUGCUAACGUCCGUCGUGAAGAGGGAAACAACCCAGACCGCCAGCUAAGGUCCCAAAGUCAUGGUUAAGUGGGAAACGAUGUGGGAAGGCCCAGACAGCCAGGAUGUUGGCUUAGAAGCAGCCAUCAUUUAAAGAAAGCGUAAUAGCUCACUGGUCGAGUCGGCCUGCGCGGAAGAUGUAACGGGGCUAAACCAUGCACCGAAGCUGCGGCAGCGACACUAUGUGUUGUUGGGUAGGGGAGCGUUCUGUAAGCCUGUGAAGGUGGCCUGUGAGGGUUGCUGGAGGUAUCAGAAGUGCGAAUGCUGACAUAAGUAACGAUAAAGCGGGUGAAAAGCCCGCUCGCCGGAAGACCAAGGGUUCCUGUCCAACGUUAAUCGGGGCAGGGUGAGUCGAC
rnacentral:rRNA from 1 species